rnacentral:rRNA from 1 species
AUUGAACGCUGGCGGCAGGCCUAACACAUGCAAGUCGAACGAGUGGCGGACGGGUGAGUAAUGUCUGGGAAACUGCCUGAUGGAGGGGGAUAACUACUGGAAACGGUAGCUAAUACCGCAUACCAUCGGAUGUGCCCAGAUGGGAUUAGCUAGUAGGUGGGGUAAUGGCGUACCUAGGCGACGAACCCUAGCUGGUCUGCGCGGGUGACCAGCCACCCUGGAACUGAGACACGGUCCAGACUCCUACGGGAGGCAGCAGUGGGGAAUAGUGCACAAUGGGCGCAAGCCUGAUGCAGCCAUGCCGCGUGUAUGAAGAAGGCCUUCGGGUUGUAAAGUACUUUCAGCGGGGAGGCGUUACCCGCAGAAGAAGCACCGGCUAACUCCGUGCCAGCCGCCGCGGUAAUAC